rnacentral:rRNA from 1 species
AACGAACGCUGGCGGCAUGCCUAACACAUGCAAGUCGAACGAUCCCUUCGGGGUUAGUGGCGCACGGGUGCGUAACGCGUGGGAAUCUGCCCUUUGCUUCGGAAUAACUCAGGGAAACUUGUGCUAAUACCGGAUGAUGUCUUCGGACCAAAGAUUUAUCGGCAAGGGAUGAGCCCGCGUAGGAUUAGGUAGUUGGUGGGGUAAAGGCCUACCAAGCCGACGAUCCUUAGCUGGUCUGAGAGGAUGAUCAGCCACACUGGGACUGAGACACGGCCCAGACUCCUACGGGAGGCAGCAGUGGGGAAUAUUGGACAAUGGGCGCAAGCCUGAUCCAGCAAUGCCGCGUGAGUGAUGAAGGCCCUCGGGUCGUAAAGCUCUUUUACCAGGGAUGAUAAUGACAGUACCUGGAGAAUAAGCUCCGGCUAACUCCGUG